CUCUCCCAACCUGGAGGCAUACCUGUGUGAACCCAACCUGCGUGAAGUACCAUCCAUGGUGCUGAACCCAGAAAGUGAACAGAUGCUGAGAAAGGGGACAGUCAGAGGGGCUCCUUAGAGCAGAUGCUGGUGACUUCCUAGGUAAACCCCUCAAAGUGCUCUGAAGAGCAGGGUUCAUUCUGCCUUGCCUUUGUCAACUUACAGUUGCCUUGGUGGUGGUGGUGGUGUGUGUGUGUGUGUCCCUAACAUUGGUCGCCCAUAUUCAUCUUGUCAUUGGCCAAAGACCUCAGGCAUCUUUCCUCCUCUGUCAUUUCCAGCAAAUCAACUCUCUGCAGCUAAACCAAAGUAGUUAUUCUUAGUCCACGAGGGCACGACCUUAGACGCUGCACUAUCAGAUUUCAUCACAUUUACAAUGCCGUGCUUCAUGCCAUCAACCAGCUUGUCCUGUUCUUGUUUGUUUCUUCCGUUUUCCUCCUCUCCUUCACACUCGUCACAGAGAUAUCUUAAAUAUAGGGCCUAUUCAUGUGACCCUAUCAAGUCAUGUUAAAGGCUGAAAUGACUGACUGCUUGUUUCAUAAGAACACAAGAAGAGUCUUCCUGCUGGAUCAGGCCAAUGGCCCGUCUAACCAGGCAUCCUGUUCUCACAGUGGCCAACCAUUUGCCCAUGGGAAGCCCGCAAGCAUGAUCUGAGUGCAAUAGCAGCUCUCUCUUCACAUGUGAUUCUCAGCACGUGCUGUUCAGAUGUUGUGGAACUACAACUCCUAUCAUCCUCAGCCAUUGGCCAUGCUGGCUGACGCUGCUUAUAUAAGAACAGCCCUAUUGGAUCAGGCCAAAGGCCCAUCUAGUCCAGCACCCUGUUUUCACAGUAGCCAACCAGAUGCCUUCUGGGAAGCCCGCAAGCUGGACCUGAGCACAAGAGCUUCUCUCCUCCUGUGGUUUCCAGCAACUGGUAUUCAGAAACAUUGCUGUCUCUGACUGUGAACAAGUUUCCCACUUGUUUCUGCCACAGCCUAAGGCUUGUAAAACGGAUCAGGUGUUUAGCCCCUUUUGGAAAUGGCCCAAGGCAGGUGGAGGAAAGUAUAGGUACCCAGGACUGUCCCCAAUCCAAGUCCAUCUUAAAUUCUCACAGACCCCUGAUCCAGCAAGUAGACUCACCUGAUACCUUCAUUACAUAUCUUUAGAUGCCAGGCAAAAACAUUCCUCUUCUCCCAGGGUUUUGGCGAAUUAAUUUGGGGUAUUGUUUUUUAUUUGUUAUUAUGCUAUAUAUUUUUGUGGUUUUUAUAUGGUAAACUGCCCUGUGAUCUUUAGAUGAGGGGCAGUAUAGAAAUUUAAUAAAUAAAAAACUAAUAGGUCUGCGAAGGUUGGUUCCCACCAACCUCAGUCUGCCCUUAUCACAGCCCUCACUUGCCUGCCUUCUUACUUACAACCAGUCCACGAGGUGGUGACCCUGGCUGUCAACUUCCUCCUCCUCCAUUUCAGCGUUCCCCUUGUGGAACUCAACUUCCAUCCCACAGGUCCCAACAGGCACCAGCCGCCACUACUGCAAGUCUAUUUCAGCUCUUUGCUGGUGUUCCCCAGAACUGAUUCCCUCCUGCACCCAACUGCAGAAUACUUUGGUUCCAGCUCCCGUUAUCACUGAUGAAGCCUCAUCCUUUUGACAUUGUUUAGAUCCUCUGUUGCCUUUCCUUGGUCUUCCUCACCAUCUUUUAUUUUGAGAAGAUCAAGCUGCCUGUGUGUUAUUUAAAAGCCCCUGUGAGAUUCCCCUCUCUGACACUCUCCUGCCCUCUCUCCCCUUGCCCACCCCUGUAAAUAUUUUAGUACUUGUUGAAAUCAAUUGAGCCUCAUCAAUAGGAAAUAGAGUGUAAAUCAUUGGCCCUUUGUAUUCACCCCAGAAAUCAAUUUUCACACAUUAGAGCUAUUAGCUUAUUGAGAGGGACUUGAUGGACGACCGGGCGUGGAAGAUGUUGAUGGAGGAUCCACACCUUAUGGGCUCCACCUAUCAGCUGAGCCCAGAUGGCGAGACAAAUGGAGGGGAGAGAAAUGAGAAAGCAGAGAGGGAAGAAGAGGGUGGGGAAGCUGGAGAUAUAGGGAUGGAGAGAGAGAGAGAGAGAGAGAGAGAGAGAGCGCUCAGACAGAAUCCUGCCAGCUGAUCAAUACUAUCUACAAAGCAUUAACUCAUUCUGGAUGGGAUUGGAGAUGGCAGGGGGCUCAAAGCAAAAGUUGUUGUUGAGCAAGUGAUUUCCCUCCCUGCUCUGCAACUAACAUAAUUUAAGGGUGGUAGGCAACAGAACUUCUAAUGUUUAAUAAAACUAAUGCAGUCUUUUGAAGGAAAGCACUGGAAUGAGCAGAGUCCUCUAUGUGGUUCUUUGGGAAGAACCUUAGCUCAGUGGGAGAUGCCCUUGGCUAAAACACUGGAGAGCCACUGCUAGCCGGUAUAGGCAAUACUGAGUUAGAUGGAACCAUUGUCUGACUUAGUAUAAGUCACCUCCCCAUAUUCUACCUCUGUGGUUGGAGGCAGUGUGCCUCUGAAUACCAACUGCUGGAAACUGCAGGAAGGGAGAGUGCCGUCAUGCUAAUGUCCAGUUUUAAAGUUCCCCAAAGGCAUCUGGUUGACCACUGUGAGAACAAGAUUCUGGAGUAGAAGAGCCAGCUAACAGAAGAGCUGAUGUAAGAGAAAAUGAAGAGAAAUAUCAGGAACUACAACUAUCUCCAUACAAUUUGAAUGGCUUUAAAAGAGGACUAGACAGGGUCAUGGAGGGUAAGGCUAUCAAUGGCUAGUAACCCUGAUGGCUAUGCUCUGCCUCAACCAUCAGAGGCAGUAUACCUCUGGAUGCCAGUUGUUGGGAAUCCCAAGUGGAGCAAGUUCUGUUGCACUUGGGUCCUACCCGUGGGCUUCCCACUGGGCACUGGUUGGUCAACCCACUGCUUGACCAUUGUGAGGACCAGAUUUUGGAUUAGAUGGGCCUUUAGCCAGAUCCAUCAGGGUUCUUCUUAUGUUCUUACAAUGGAAGACUCCCAGGUCCUGGGACUCUGGGUCUAUCAACCUCCUGCAUUCAAAAACCAUCAUGGGCCCCACAUUCACUGCUUCCAAAAAAACCCCCUAAUCUCUGGUGCUAUUAAAAAGUUGCAUAUGAUUGAGCUGUAACAAGGAAACUGUUACAACCAAGGGUCUUCCAACCAAGUCCUACUUUUGGGUUUCCAACAGCCAUCUGUUUGGCCAUUUUGAGACUAGGAUGCUGGAUUAGAUGGGCUUUCAGCCUGACCCAGCAGGACUCUUCUAAUGAUAUUGUGGGGGUUUUGUUUUUUGUGCAGUUGAGGCAAGGGAGGCUGAAGUAUGCACACCAAUUUGCCAUAAUGAGCCAAACCAUUGGGCAUCCAAUCUCACCCAAAGCCUGUCAGUUUCCCUUGAAACGUAGCCAACAGCCUAUCACCAUCUAGUCCUGCAAUCCCAAACACAGCAUAGUAUUUCUCUGCCAGCCAGAGAUAUCACUGUGACCUACAUCACGCAUCUUGUUGCACGGAGUCAACAUUGCCUCGUACCGGUGGCAAAAUGCAGGAGCGGCUCCGCCUGACCGCGGAGAAGAAGAGGAACAGGACGGGAGCAGCAGUGGCCACAAUCAACACUCUUGUAUGAUAAAGCAGAGCUAAUGGAGAGGCCUGAGGUGGAGUGGGACGUGGCAACCGUCCCAAUGAUGUUUCAAGUGGAUGGAAAUCAGCCUCUCGCAGAGGUUCAAGACAAGGUCUGUGCACCACUUACAUCCCACUUGAGGCCUAUUUUAAGAUCUUAAGUGGC
rnacentral:lncRNA from 1 species